rnacentral:rRNA from 1 species
CAAUAGCGUAUAUUAAAGUUGUUGCAGUUAAAAAGCUCGUAGUUGGAUUUGUGGCGUACGGUGUGUUCCGGGCACUUGUUGUCUGAGUAACCUGCUGUUACCAUCCUUGGGUGGAACCUGUGUGGCAUUAGGUUGUCGUGCAGGGGAUGCCCAUCAUUUACUGUGAAAAAAUUAGAGUGUUCAAAGCAGGCUUAUGCCGUUGAAUAUAUUAGCAUGGAAUAAUGAGAUAGGACUUUUUUGCUAUUUUGUUGGUUUGCGCAAAGAGGUAAUGAUUAAUAGGGACAGUUGGGGGUAUUCGUAUUCCAUUGUCAGAGGUGAAAUUCUUGGAUUUUUGGAAGACGAACUACUGCGAAAGCAUUUACCAAGGAUGUUUUCAUUAA